AGGACGAACGCUGGCGGCGUGCUUAACACAUGCAAGUCGAGCGGUAAGGCCCUUCGGGGUACACGAGCGGCGAACGGGUGAGUAACACGUGGGUGACCUGCCCUCAGCUCUGGGAUAGGCCUGGGAAACUGGGUCUAAUACCGGAUAUGACCUCUUGUCGCAUGACAGGUGGUGGAAAGUUUUUCGGCUGGGGAUGGGCCCGCGGCCUAUCAGCUUGUUGGUGGGGUGAUGGCCUACCAAGGCGACGACGGGUA
rnacentral:rRNA from 1 species